CAUAUCAAUAAGCGGAGGAAAAGAAACCAACAGGGAUUGCCCCAGUAACGGCGAGUGAAGCGGCAACAGCUCAAAUUUGAAAUCUGGCCCCAGGCCCGAGUUGUAAUUUGCAGAGGAUGCUUUUGGCGCGGUGCCUUCCGAGUUCCCUGGAACGGGACGCCAUAGAGGGUGAGAGCCCCGUACGGUUGGACACCAAGCCUUUGUAAAGCUCCUUCGACGAGUCGAGUAGUUUGGGAAUGCUGCUCUAAAUGGGAGGUACAUUUCUUCUAAAGCUAAAUAUUGGCCAGAGACCGAUAGCGCACAAGUAGAGUGAUCGAAAGAUGAAAAGCACUUUGAAAAGAGGGUUAAACAGCACGUGAAAUUGUUAAAAGGGAAGCGCUUGUGACCAGACUUGCGUCCGGUGAAUCACCCAGCUCUCGCGGCUGGGGCACUUCGCCGGCACAGGCCAGCAUCAGCUUGCCGUCGGGGACAAAAGCUUCAGGAACGUGGCUCCUCUCGGGGAGUGUUAUAGCCUGUUGCACAAUACCCUUCGGCGGGCUGAGGUACGCGCUCCGCAAGGAUGCUGGCGUAAUGGUCAUCAGCGACCCGUCUUGAAACACGGACCAAGGAGUCAACCUUAUGUGCGAGUGUUUGGGUGUUAAACCCCUACGCGUAAUGAAAGUGAACGCAGGUGAGAGCUUCGGCGCAUCAUCGACCGAUCCUGAUGUUCUCGGAUGGAUUUGAGUAAGAGCAUAUAGGGUUGGACCCGAAAGAAGGUGAACUAUGCGUGUGUAGGGUGAAGCCAGAGGAAACUCUGGUGGAGGCUCGCAGCGGUUCUGACGUGCAAAUCGAUCGUCAAACAUGCGCAUGGGGGCGAAAGACUAAUCGAACCUU
rnacentral:rRNA from 1 species